rnacentral:lncRNA from 1 species
UUUAUUUAGAGAAUUUUCAAAAAAAUCCAGGGUCAUGAAUUUAUCUGUGAGUUUACUCUUGCUGCAGACAGCAGAAAUGGUGGAAAACCACAUUUCCAGCACGGCUGCAAGGUGGCGGUUGUUGUAAGGGUUUUAUCGGAGUUUACAGUUACUCUUUGCAAGGAAGAAUGCAGAAAGAAACCAAUGGGUGCCGGGGGCUGAUGCGGACGGUUGCACCGCCUCGCUUCACGCCUCCUCCCCACAUCCUGUGAGCGCUGCCCGCGUGCUCUCCCAGCUCUGGUGCCCGCUGGCUUGCUCGUGUCCUCCCGCCCGCAGGCAACGCCUGCCUGCUGCCUGCGCCCAGCCCGAGGCGGGGGCUGCCGGUGCCCCCGACGCUGCCGAGCCCCCGCGCGGUUUGGGCGCUGUGCCCCUGCCACCAGGCCCCGAGGUCUGCGGGGCGCGGGAGCCUGCAUUAUUUCCCUCUGCUCCCGGAGCCCGGGCAGCCUUCCGAUUCCCCCGGCAAGGUGGGCGACAGCAGUGCCUGGCGGUGUGCGGGACGUACUGCCUGCCCCCGCCCGCCUCUGCGCCCGGCAGGCACAGUUAAUGAAAGGGAAGUUACCGGAAAAGCACGGGGAAUCUCUGGAAAUGGCACUAACGAGCCUGUCCGCUCCGUUCAGUCCUGGAAAGCAGCAGCUCCACAGAGCUCCUUGUUCAGGGGUCUGAGUUGGAGCCCUGUGGGUCAGAACUGUGCUUCAAGCAGGGAAACUGCCGUGCCACGGCUUGGUGAGAGGGGGCCACAGACCGUGCCACCUCCAGCGUCUGGCCGUGCAGGGCUGGCAGCCUGGCUUUCCCCUUGCCAAUGGAAAACUUCCCAGGAUUCUUCUCCCUGUGAAGGAGGAUUUAUCCCAUUAACAUGGGACCCAGUCCUGAAACCUCAGCAGAGUUUACGUUCACAGUUCCUAAACAGAGACUUCAGACUGCAGUCCAACACCCCAGCUUCCUCUACAGAUGACUGCUAUUUUGGUUCCACAGGUGGUGUUAAUAUAUUCCUCUUUAGACUCCACUUCCUUGUACAGCUGAGUACAAUGUAAAUAACAUCUCAGUUGUCAUUUAAGAGGAAAGGAGUGAGAUGACUAGAAUUGGCAGAAAAAUCACAGGCU